UAAAAGCCACCUUCUCUCCUCUAAACAAUUAUAUUACCAAAGUGACACUGAAGGCAACCAUGGCAAAAUUCUGUCUGUUGAAGGACCAGAGCACAAAGAAUACAUAUCUGAAUCGAACGAUUAAGUCUCCUAUCAUUUCAGACCCACUGGGCUGUUUCCAAGUCUGUAAGCUCCAUCAUACACAGCUCCAUGGUGACCUCUACUGUCUGACUGCAAGAAUCCCGUCAAAGACAAAGAGUUUCCAGGGAGCUUCACCAGGAGAUUUUCCUCCCACUGUGCUAAGAAGUCCCCUUUGCUAACUGCUGGGUCAAGUCUGAUGAAGCAGGAAGGCGAUCUUCCAGACCCAAGGACUGAACCCGCCUGUCUGAGUCUGCUGCAUUGGGAGACGGAUUCUUUACCACUAUGCCACCUGGGAAGCCCAUAUACAAGUGAAAAGUUUAAGGAAAUAGAGGAGUAAACAGAAAGGGAAGAAGCAGUCUGUAGAAGCUUACUUGUUCAUAGACUUAAUAAUCAAGUGGAGGAAUUCCUUGGUGGUCCAGUGGUUAUGAAUCCGCCUGCUAAUGCAGGAGACACAGGUUUCAUCCCUGUUCCAGGAAGACCCCACAUGCCAUGGAGCAACUAAGACACAACUACUGAACCCUUCUGCUGCAACCUCUGAAGCCCACACUCUAGCGCCCAUGCUCUGCAACAAGAGAAGCCUCUGCAGUGAGAAGCCCUUGUACCCCACUGAAGAGUAGUCCCUACUCACUGCAACUAGAGAAAGCCCCUGUGCAGCAACAAAGACCCGGCAUAGACAAAAAUACAAACAAAUACAUAAAAAAAGAAUCAUGUGGAGAAAAUGAGUCUUUGCUAAUGUAGAUAGCAAGGGAUUUAAGAAUUUGGGUUAGGUGACACAGGAUCAGGGAGCCCAAGGCAAAGGGAGUGUGUGUAUGUGUGUGUGCGCUUUUGUGCAAGUGCAGACAGGGUUCAAAGAAGACUACAAAAUUGUAAAAAAAAAACCCAUCAGGACUGGUUGAAUCUAUGUAGAUUUGACCUAGUCCUUCUCUCUGGCCUCAUUUUCCAUACUCUUAACAUGAAGAUUAGACCUGUCUCAUCAACCUCAAAUUAAAUGGAAUAACUCACAUGGAGGCUUGAAACAUACUAACGUUUUCAUAAAUAAAUUCAAUGCAGCAGUA